UGCCAGACUCCUACGGGAGGCAGCAGUGGGGAAUAUUGCACAAUGGGGGAAACCCUGAUGCAGCAACGCCGCGUGAGUGAAGAAGUAUUUCGGUAUGUAAAGCUCUAUCAGCAGGGAAGAAAAUGACGGUACCUGAGUAAGAAGCCCCGGCUAACUACGUGCCAGCAGCCGCGGUAAUACGUAGGGGGCAAGCGUUAUCCGGAUUUACUGGGUGUAAAGGGAGCGUAGACGGCGAUACAAGUCUGAAGUGAAAGCCCGGGGCUCAACCCCGGGACUGCUUUGGAAACUGUGUUGCUGGAGUGCUGGAGAGGCAAGCGGAAUUCCUAGUGUAGCGGUGAAAUGCGUAGAUAUUAGGAAGAACACCAGUGGCGAAGGCGGCUUGCUGGACAGUAACUGGCGUUGAGGCUCGAAAGCGUGGGGAGCAAACAGGAUUAGAUACCCUCGUAGAC
rnacentral:rRNA from 1 species